AUAGGGGAGCCGUAGCGAAAGCGAGUGUUAACUGCGCGUUUAGUUGCAGGGUAUAGACCCGAAACCCGGCGAUCUACCCAUGGGCAGGUUGAAGCUGUGGUAACACACAGUGGAGGACCGAACCAGUUGACGUUGAAAAGUCUUUGGAUGACCUGUGGGUAGGGGUGAAAGGCCAAUCAAACUCGGAAAUAGCUCGUACUCCCCGAAAUGCAUUUAGGUGCAGCGUUGAGCGAAAGUUUUAUAGAGGUAGAGCUACUGAUUGGAUGCG
rnacentral:rRNA from 1 species